CAUGCAAGUCGAGCGGACCGACGGGAGCUUGCUCCCUUAGGUCAGCGGCGGACGGGUGAGUAACACGUGGGUAACCUGCCUGUAAGACUGGGAUAACUCCGGGAAACCGGGGCUAAUACCGGAUGCUUGAUUGAACCGCAUGGUUCAAUUAUAAAAGGUGGCUUUCAACUACCACUUACAGAUGGACCCGCGGCGCAUUAACUAGUUGGUGAGGUAACGGCUCACCAAGGCGACGAUGCGUAACCGACCUGAGAGGGUGAUCGGCCACACUGGGACUGAAACACGGCCCAGACUCCUACGGGAGGCAGCAGUAGGGAAUCUUCCGCAAUGGACGAAAGUCUGACGGAACAACGCCGCGUGAGUGAUGAAGGUUUUCGGAUCGUAAAACUCUGUUGUUAGGGAAGAACAAGUACCGUUCGAAUAGGGCGGGACCUUGACGGUACCUAACCAGAAAGCCACGGCCAACUACGUGCCAGCAGCCGCGGUAAUACGUAGGUGGCAAGCGUUGUCCGGAAUUAUUGGGCGUAAAGCGCGCGCAGGCGGUUUCUUAAGUCUGAUGUGAAAGCCCCCGGCUCAACCGGGGAGGGUCAUUGGAAACUGGGGAACUUGAGUGCAGAAGAAGAGAGUGGAAUUCCACGUGUAGCGGUGAAAUGCGUAGAGAUGUGGAGGAACACCAGUGGCGAAGCGACUCUCUGGUCUGUAACUGACGCUGAGGCGCGAAAGCGUGGGGAGCGAAC
rnacentral:rRNA from 1 species